rnacentral:rRNA from 1 species
UACGUAGGGGGCAAGCGUUGUCCGGAAUCAUUGGGCGUAAAGAGCGUGUAGGCGGCCCGAUAAGUCAGCUGUGAAAGUCCAGGGCUCAACCCUGGGAUGCCGGUGGAUACUGUCGGGCUCGAGUCCGGAAGAGGAGUGUGGAAUUCCUGGUGUAGCGGUGAAAUGCGCAGAUAUCAGGAGGAACACCAAUGGCGAAGGCAGCACUCUGGGACGUGACUGACGCUGAGACGCGAAAGCGUGGGGAGCAAACAGG